rnacentral:rRNA from 1 species
UACGUAGGUGGCAAGCGUUAUCCGGAAUUACUGGGCGUAAAGGGCACGCAGGCGGCAUAAAAAGUCUGAUGUGAAAGCUCAUGGCUUAACUGUGAGAGGUCAUUGGAAACUAAUAUGCUUGAGGCAGUGAGAGGGGUGCAGAAUUCCCGGUGUAGUGGUGGAAUGCGUAGAUAUCGGGAGGAAUACCAGUGGCGAAAGCGGCACCCUGGCACUGACCUGACGCUCAUGUGCGAAAGCGUGGGUAGCGAACGGG